UACGAAGGGGGCUAGCGUUGUUCGGAUUUACUGGGCGCAAAGCGCACGUAGGCGGAUCGUUAAGUCGGGGGUGAAAUCCUGGAGCUCAACUCCAGAACUGCCUUCGAUACUGGCGAUCUUGAGUCCGGAAGAGGUGAGUGGAACUCCUAGUGUAGAGGUGGAAUUCGUAGAUAUUAGGAAGAACACCAGUGGCGAAAGGCGGCUCACUGGUCCGGUACUGACGCUGAGGCGCGAAAGCGUGGGGAGCAAACAGG
rnacentral:rRNA from 1 species